UGUGGCGAACAAGUAACUCAUU
rnacentral:miRNA from 1 species